rnacentral:rRNA from 1 species
GUGGGGAAUCUUGCGCAAUGGGCGAAAGCCUGACGCAGCAACGCCGCGUGCGGGAUGAAGGCCUUCGGGUUGUAAACCGCUUUCAGCAGGGACGAAAAUGACGGUACCUGCAGAAGAAGCUCCGGCUAACUACGUGCCAGCAGCCGCGGUAAUACGUAGGGAGCAAGCGUUGUCCGGAUUUAUUGGGCGUAAAGAGCUCGUAGGCGGUUUCGUAAGUCGAGUGUGAAAAAUCUGGGCUUAACCCAGUGGAGCACUCGAUACUGCGAUGACUUGAGUCUGGUAGAGGAGUGUGGAAUUCCUGGUGUAGCGGUGAAAUGCGCAGAUAUCAGGAGGAACACCAACGGCGAAGGCAGCACUCUGGGCCAGUACUGACGCUGAGGAGCGAAAGCGUGGGGAGCAAACAGGAUUAGAUUCCCGUGUAGUCC